rnacentral:sRNA from 1 species
CAUUUCUGAAUACGCAAGCCCACCGUUUCUAAGGUGAAUCUUUACAUCUAGAAGUUGAGAUUUUCAUUCAUAGUGGGCUUUAAAAGAAAGUGGACUGGGGAUCCUGCGGCUCGCACAUUGUCCGGUACGUCUUAAACAGGGAAGUGAUUCGGCAACUCCUCCCUAACCCCCUGGCGCGAGAGAGAAUAGUCGCUCAAUGUUCUUAUUCCCUUGAGAGAAAUUCCUCUCAAAGAUCAAAUAUUAGGUAAUUAUCAUAUUAUCGAAGGAGUAUCGAUAGGACGGCGUCUGCUGAUGAGUUUUGAUCGCUUCGUCUCCAAAAGUUUCCACUUCCACAUCGAAGCUACUUACUCCAACGAAAAUAUGUUCUUUAUCACAAUUUAAUCAGAUAGUCGAGAAUGUCAC